GAUGAACGCUGGCGGCGGGCCUAAUACAUGCAAGUCGAGCGAACAGACGAGGAUCUUGCUCCUCUUACGUUAGCGGCGGACGGGUGAUUAACACGUGUAUAACCUACCGAGAAGGCUGGGAUAACUUCGGGAAACCUGAUCUAAUACCGGAUAAGAUAUUGAACCUCAUGGAUCAUUAGUGAACACCGUUUUAGCUGUCACUAAUAGAUGGAUCCAGGUCGGAUUAGCUAGUUGGUAAGGUAACGGCCUACCAAGGCAACGAUGCGUAGUCGACCUGAGAGGGUGAUCAGUCACACUGGAACUGAGACACGGUCCAGACUCCUACGGGAGGCAGCAGUGGGGAAUAUUGCGCAAUGGGCGAAAGCCUGACGCAGCCACGCCGCGUGAGUGAUGAAGGUCUUCGGAUCGUAAAACUCUGUUAUUAGGGAAGAACAACAGUGUAAGUAAAUCUGCACGUCUUGACGUUACCAACUCAGAAAGCAACGGCUAACUACGUG
rnacentral:rRNA from 1 species